rnacentral:rRNA from 1 species
UACAGAGACCUCAAGCGUUAUCCGGAAUCAUUGGGCGUAAAGCGUACCGAUAGGUGGUUUACCAAGUCAGAAGUGAAAUCUUAAAGCUUAACUUUGAGACUGUCUUUUGAAACUGGUAGACUAGAGGGGCAAAGAGGAAGCUGGAACAAACGGUGUAGUAGUGAAAUGCGUUGAUAUCGUUUGGAACACCAAUAGCGUAGGCAAGCUUCUGGGUGCCACCUGACACUGCUAGGACGGAAAGCGAUGGGGAGCGAAGUGGG